rnacentral:rRNA from 1 species
AUACGGAGGGUGCAAGCGUUGCUCGGAAUCACUGGGCGUAAAGCGUACGCAGGCGGGACGUUAAGUCGGGUGUGAAAGCCCGGGGCUCAACCCCGGAACUGCAUUCGAAACUGGCGACCUUGAGUACGGGAGAGGGAAGCGGAAUUCCUGGUGUAGAGGUGAAAUUCGUAGAUAUCAGGAUGAACACCCGUGGCGAAAGCGGCUUCCUGGCCCGAUACUGACGCUCAUGUACGAAAGCGUGGGGAGCAAACAGGAUUAGAAACCCUAGUAGUCC